UCCCUGGUGGCUCAGAGGGUAAAGCAUCUGCCUACAAUGCAGGAGACCCAGGUUCAAUCCCUAGUUUGGGAA
rnacentral:tRNA from 1 species